UACGUAGGGUGCGAGCGUUAAUCGGAAUUACGGGGCGUAAAGCGUGCGCAGGCGGUUUUGUAAGCCAGGGGUGAAAUCCCCGGGCUCAACCUGGGAAUGGCAUUUGGGACUGCAAGGCUGGAGUGCGGCAGAGGAGACUGGAAUUCCUGGUGUAGCAGUGAAAUGCGUAGAUAUCAGGAGGAAUACCGAUGGCGAAGGCAGGUCUCUGGGCUGACACUGACGCUCAUGCACGAAAGCGUGGGGAGCAAACAGG
rnacentral:rRNA from 1 species